rnacentral:tRNA from 1 species
CUCCCUGUGGCUCAGUUGGUAGAGCAUGGUGUGUGCAACGCCAGGGUUGUGGGUUCAAUUCCCACGGGGGGGG